rnacentral:rRNA from 1 species
GACGAACGCUGGCGGCGUGCCUAACACAUGCAAGUCGAGCGGAGUCAGUAAGAGGAAGUUUUCGGAUGGAAUCUUAUUGAUUUAGCGGCGGGCGGGUGAGUAACGCGUGAGCGACCAACCUUGCACAGGGGGAUAACGGACCGAAAGGUUCACUAAUACCGCAUAAGACCACGGUGUUGCAUGACACAGAGGUCAAAGGAGCAAUCCGGUGCAAGACGGGCUCGCGUCCGAUUAGGUAGUUGGAGGGGUAACGGCCCACCAAGCCUAUGAACGGUAGCCGACCUGAGAGGGUGAUCGGCCACAUUGGAACUGAGAUACGGUCCAAACUCCUACGGGAGGCAGCAGUGGGGAAUAUUGGGCAAUGGGGGAAACCCUGACCCAGCAACGCCGCGUGAAGGAAGAAGGUUUUCGGAUUGUAAACUUCUGUCCUUGGUGAAGAGAAGAAGACGGUAGCCAAGGAGGAAGCCCCGGCUAACUACGUGCCAGCCGCCGCCGUAA